AUUGAACGCUGGCGACAUGCCUUACACAUGCAAGUCGAACGGCAGCACGGGUGCUUGCACCUGGUGGCGAGUGGCGAACGGGUGAGUAAUACAUCGGAACAUGUCCUGUAGUGGGGGAUAGCCCGGCGAAAGCCGGAUCAAUACCGCAUACGAUCUACGGAUGAAAGCGGGGGACCUUCGGGCCUCGCGCUGUAGGGUUGGCCGAUGGCUGAUUAGCUCGUUGGUGGGGUAAAGGCCUACCAAGGCGACGAGCAGUAGCUGGUGUGAGAGGACGACCAGUCACACUGGGAGUGAGACACGGACCAGGCUACUGCGGGAGGCAGCAGUGGGGAAUUUGAGACAAUGGGCGAAAGCCUGAUCCAGCAAUGCCGCGUGUGUGAAGAAGGCCUUCGGGUUGUAAAGCACUUUUGUCCGGAAAGAAAUCCUUGGCCCUAAUACGGUCGGGGGAUGACGGUACCGGAAGAAUAAGCACCGGCUAACUACGUG
rnacentral:rRNA from 1 species